rnacentral:rRNA from 1 species
GAUGAACGCUGGCGGCGUGCCUAAUACAUGCAAGUCGAGCGAACAGACGAGGAGCUUGCUCCUCUGACGUUAGCGGCGGACGGGUGAGUAACACGUGGAUAACCUACCUAUAAGACUGGGAUAACUUCGGGAAACCGGAGCUAAUACCGGAUAAUAUAUUGAACCGCAUGGUUCAAUAGUGAAAGACGGUUUUGAUGUCACUUAUAGAUGGUUCCGCGCCGCAUUAGCUAGUUGGUAAGGUAACGGCUUACCAAGGCAACGAUGCGUAGCCGACCUGAGAGGGUGAUCGGCCACACUGGAACUGAGACACGGUCCAGACUCCUACGGGAGGCAGCAGUAGGGAAUCUUCCGCAAUGGGCGAAAGCUUGACGGAGCAACGCCGCGUGAGUGAUGAAGGUCUUCGGAUCGUAAAACUCUGUUAUUAGGGAAGAACAAAUGUGUAAGUAACUAUGCACGUCUUGACGGUACCUAAUCAGAAAGCCACGGCUAACUACGUG